AUGCCUUCCUGGAAUGACGAGGAAACCAGCUCGGAGGAGGAGUGCGAGGCUGUCAGCAUGGACAUGGGACUUAUGGAGGAACCAGACACCACUGUGGAGCCCCUUUUCUGUGGCCAACUUGAGCUUGCUCAUCCCAAGUGCAUUCUGCACCAACUGAGGCCUAUUAAGCGUGUUGCUUUUGAAGGGCCUGUAACAGGAAGGCGUUUCUAUGGCUGCCCAGUCCAGGAAAAUGGUGUGAAUUGUGGUGUUGUAGAGUGGGUUGAUGGGCCUUGGCCAACUGUUCUUCAGAGAUGUUUGUGCAAGCUAUGGGAGAUGUUCCAUGAGCAGAACAUUGGAAGGGUACAGGACAAGGAGAAGUUUGAGAAGGAGUUGGCCAGGCUUAAGAGUGAACAUGAUAGGGAGUUGGCCAAGCUUAGGAAUGAAAAUGACAAGCUUUGCAUUGAGUACACCAAGCUUGUUGAUGAUGUAUCCAAGAUGUUUGAUUGGCAGGAUGGUAGGGUGGACCAGAAACAAGUGCAGGAGGAAGAACUUGAGAAGAAGAAGAAGGAGCUAGAGGAGAAAGCUAUGUUGGAGGUGCAGAUGGAAAAGCUCAAACUUGCAAAAGAGAAAAGGUGCAUUUUGCAGAGCCAAGCUGAUAUCAUCAAGAACACCAGGAAGGCUAUGAAGGAUGUUCAAGUUGACAGAGAUGUUCUUAAGAAGGAGAAGGACAAGCUUGAGCUUGUUGUUGCUGAGCUGCUGAAAGAUGGCUAUGGCAGCAAGGAGAAGUUAGAGCAAAUCAAGGCCAUCCUUGAGUCUCGAACUUGCUGUGAUAUGUUGGUGAAUGACUCCACCAGCCGCCACCCAAAAGAAACCCUACAGAUGGAUCCUGACAUGGGAGAUGUCACAGAGGAAGAGGGGGAGGCUGUGGAGGUUAGGACAGCAGCAGCAACACAUAGGAGGAGGAGGAGGCGCAGGCAGAGGGCACUAGAGGCGGCCCAGGAUGAGCAGCAAGAGGAGUUCAACCGCCGACUCUCCAACAAGGUACUGGAGAAGUGCAAUGAAGAAGAACUAGAGCUGGUUUUCACUGGCGGCAGGGGAAGGUCAUUCAUGGAGAUCAUUAGGUGGGCAAGGAUGAGGGCAGUCAUGGCUCCUCAUCCAGCAACUAGGGCCAAGUGGGUCCGUUUCUUUGAGCGCUAUGACUGA
rnacentral:rRNA from 1 species